UACGUAGGGCGCAAGCGUUAUCCGGAAUUAUUGGGCGUAAAGAGCUCGUAGGCGGUCUGUUGCGUCUGCUGUGAAAACCCGGGGCUUAACCCCUGGCUUGCAGUGGAUACGGACAGACUAGAGGUAGGUAGGGGAGAAUGGAAUUCCCGGUGUAGCGGUGAAAUGCGCAGAUAUCGGGAGGAACACCGGUGGCGAAGGCGGUUCUCUGGGCCUUACCUGACGCUGAGGAGCGAAAGCGU
rnacentral:rRNA from 1 species